rnacentral:rRNA from 1 species
AUGCCCAUGCAUGGGAAUCGUGGGGCAGGUGCAUCUCCUGCACGUAUGCCCUCAGAAUCAUGCGCUGAUCAGUCCUCCUCGGAUGAAGAGGUUAGAUCUUCUGUGGCUUCUUCUGUCCAGGAAAUUGUCCAACCUGUACAACUGCCCUCUGUUCUAGAUGGUGCUGUUACACAUUCACACAACAAUAUUUUCAGACCCAAGGUAAUUACAGAUGGACGAGUUAGGUGGUGCAAUGUGUGCACGACAGGUGAACCAAGCAGUAUCACCGAAGCUCUUCAGGAUAAAAAUUGGAAGGAAGCUAUGGAUGAGGAAUAUUCGGCAUUGAUGAAAAAUAAUACUUGGCACCUUGUUCCUGCUCAGAAGGGUGCAAAUAUUAUACCCCCUCUGUCCCAAAAUUCUUGUCUUAGAUUUGUCUAG